ensembl:snoRNA small nucleolar RNA SNORA68
CAGGCACCUAAGCUGUCUGUCGUAGCAGCAGUUUAAACAGGAGGUGCUGGCAGCAAGCAAUCUCAUCCCCUUUGGGGGCUAGAGCUGUGCCCCUCAAAGUGAAUUGGAAGGCUCUCUACCC